ensembl:lncRNA
GUCCUCUUUGUGGCAGUGAGCUGCCAGUCACUGUAUCAGACAGUGUCCUCCCCCAGUGUAGGCAAUCAGGAGAAAUCACCUUCAGUUGAUACCUUCUCUGAAAUGGCUCUGCAAGCAGAAAGAAUGGCAUGCAUAAAGGUAGUCAGAAAGUGACAACUGUGUUUGGGAGAUUGUGGUCCGUUGUUUGUCUGGAGUGAAUCGGUUGUGUGGAAGACGCCUGACAGGUAAAGAUGGCAAAUUAGAUUACUACUUUGUAUGGUGACAGGACAAAAUCAAAGCACACAGGGUGUGUGGACAGUCACAUACAAAUCAGCACCCAGAGAAUCUUUUGUUAAAUAGAAUAAGCAGGCUAAUGAGGGAAUAGGAAGCUGCCAGUGAUACAAAAUUCUUGGCAAUCUUUGUCAAAAAUGAGGGCUUCUAUUCCAGGUACAAAGUUGUGGGGCUUAAUCCAUUUCACAGCUGGGGUCCUGUUUUAUUUUUCAGGCAGGAUUGGAGAGAGGAGGUGGAAAACCUAUCCCCUGAUGGCACAGCAGAGACAGAGGUUCAGUGGAAUGUCACUGUCACUACUGAUAAAUCAAGUACGUCAUCUUUCCACUACCUCAGCACCUCGCAGAGAGAGCACAGUGGAACAGCAGGAACCUCGCAGCCGGGGUCAGAGUCCUGGGUUCUGGUCCUUAAUCUGCCUCCAUGGGCUGUGUGACUGUGGAUGAUUCAGUUCCCUUCUCUGGGCUUCAUUCAUCAGUAAAAUGGGGUGGGGAGAGGGGAGAUACUAGAGGACUCUUUUUUUUUUCCUCCAUUUUUUUUUUAUUGUGGUAAAAAACAACAUACAAUUUACCAUCGUAACCAUUUGUAAGUGUGCAGUUCUGUAGUGUUAAGUAUAUUUAUAUUGUUGUGAAAUAGAUUUUUUUAUCUUGCAAAACUGAAACUAUGCCUAUUAGACAACUCCCUGGGACGCCUGGGUGGCUCGGUUGGUUAAGCGUCUGCCUUCGGAUCACAUCUUUUGAAUAGAUACCUUAAAGUAGGAUUGCUGGAUCAUAUGGUAGUUCCAUUCUUAAUUUUUUGAGGAACCAUCCUACCUUUUUGCACAGCAGCUGCGCGGGGUUUACGUCCCCCCGCCCCGGAAGCGCACCCGAGUUCCAGUGCACCCUCACUAACACCAUCUCCUGUUUUUGUCUUGCUAGUAGCCAUCUUAAUGGGUGUGAGGCGGUAACCCUUUGUGGUUUUGACUUGCAUUUCUCUGAUGGUUACUGAUGCGGCAUCUUUUCACUUGCUUAUUGGCCAUUUGUAUAUUAUCUUUGGAAACAUGUCUAUUCAAGUCCUUUGCCCAUUUUUUGAAUGGGGAUUACUUAAUUUUUUUUGUUGUUAAGUCACAUACUAGAUGACUGUUGACUCUCCACCUUCGACAUUUGUAACUCUAGAUUCUUAGUGUCCUUAAGCAACUUUUUCAUCUCUUGAUUCCUUUCAAGAGACAGAGAAGGGGCGCCUGGGUGGCUCAGUUGGUUAGGCCUCCAACUCUUGAUUUCUGCUUAAGUCAUGAUCUCAGGGUCGUGGGUUCGAGCCCUGCAUUGGGCUCUGUGCUCAGCGGGGAGUCUGCUUGGGAUUAUCUCUCUCCCUCUGUCCCUCCUUCUCCCUUUCCCUCUCUCUCUCAAAU